AAAAAAUAAAAAUAAUAAUAAUAAAUAAAAAAAGAGGGGAAAAAGAGCUAUUGGCUGGUUUGUGAACAGGCUUGUUUUGGGCAGGCUUAGGGACACAAACAUGGCGGCCUCCUUACGGCUAGGACACCGAGCCGUUUUAACUGUUUUGAGGUUUAUUCCGUUUCAAAAAUGCCCUCACGUAACUCAGAGUUCGUUCAGACAACUGUUUCAGUCUGCGUAUUUAUUAGGGUGCCCAAAUCCAGCACUGCAGUAUUACAUGUUUCCCGUGCACUUGUACAUCUAUUUCAGCUGAAACGUCAAUUCUUAAGAGCAUCAUGAUCUGAUGUGUGACAGCAGACAGGACUGUGUGAUAUUUCAAAUUGGAUUUGAUGAACAACUCCUAAUGAUGUUAAACAUGUGUGUAAAGUUGUUUAGGUCAACCUUUACCAUAAUGUAAUAGUCACCAGCACGGUAGUAUACAUACAUACAUGCAUACAUAUAUUAAUGAUUCAUUCUGUAUGACUAAAUGCUCUCUAUAAUGUAUGCACAUAUAUGUAUGUAUGUAUGUUGUAUGUGCAGUGUAUGCUGCUGUACAAUAGCAGCUUGUUCCCAGCAAACAUGGAUUGCUUGUAUGUCUUCCCGCACAUUUUAUUCCCUUUUCCUGCCAUUUCUUGGUUGGGAAAAAUGGCUGAACUUAAUUCAUUUAGAAGAGGGUGGAUUUAGAGCAAGUUUGAGGUUAUGUAACAGGUUCUGCAUUUUUCGUGGUGGUGUUUUUCCAACUUGGGGGCAUUUCAAUGUCUUUAUGCAGCAGCAGUAAGUGUUAUCAUUUUCUCAAGUACCCUAAUCCUUCAGCUAUAAGGCUAUAAUUCUGAUGUCUCCCAAUGUUCACCCUGUUGCUCUCCAUCACCACUCUUCUGCAUGUUUAGCUAGUUUUCUAAGCUACUCUGAAGUUUGUUUAGAUAUUGGUCAGGGUGUGGUAUAUCUCAUGCUGUAGGAACAAUCCUCCUUCAGUGACUUAAUAUUAAUCCACCCUCUGUGGAUGUGAAUAUUUAUAAUUAAUAGAGAUGCACUGAUAUAUUGGCCGAUAAAGGUUUAAAAACAUAAGAGGAUCAGGGCCGAUUAUAUUCUGUCGAUCAAAAGAGGGCGGGAAAACAUCAAAUUCGUGCAGUGUGUAAAGAUGUCUCUUGUGUGGAAUGAUUGCAAAUCUGCAGUUUACAAACUCUGCACUGCUACAAUUUUACACCAUAAGUGAGCAGGAGUGAAGCGGGAGUUUCAGUGUUGUCAAUUAUUAUUAUUUUUUUUUAAUAUGCUGUAUUAACGGGCCACUACACCGCUGAAAGAUUUAAAUGAAGAUGAGUUGACAAAGUAUAUAUUGCACAGAAA
ensembl:lncRNA